GAAAUGCGAUAUUAAUGUGAAUUGCAGAAUUCAGUGAAUCAUCGAGUCUUUGAACGCACAUUGCGCCCCCUGGUAUUCCGGGGGGCAUGCCUGUCCGAGCGUCAUUGCUGCCCUCAAGCACGGCUUGUGUGUUGGGCUUCCGUCCCUGGCAACGGGGACGGGCCCAAAAGGCAGUGGCGGCACCAUGUCUGGUCCUCGAGCGUAUGGGGCUUUGUCACCCGCUCCCGUAGGUCCAGCUGGCAGCUAGCCUCGCAACCAAUCUUUUUAACCAGGUUGACCUCGGAUCAGGUAGGGAUACCCGCUGAACUUAAGC
rnacentral:misc_RNA from 1 species